rfam:Camponotus floridanus CamFlo_1.0_3.contig5188, whole genome shotgun sequence.
UACCCUGAACGGUGGAUCACUUGACUCGUGGGUCGAUGAAGAACGCAGCUAAUUGCGCGUCAACUUGUGAACUGCAGGACACAUGAACAUCGACAUUUCGAACGCACAUUGCGGUCCACGGAUACAAUUCCCGGACCACGCCUGGCUGAGGGUCG